rnacentral:lncRNA from 1 species
GGAAGGCAGAGCUCAGACUGGCUUUGCAAACUCUGCCUUUUAUGGUGCUCACAGCAGGAGGCCACGGCGCGUGGCCACAGAGCAUGGCUGCCCCCAUCCACAGGGCAAGAAGACCCCUGAGACUCAGGGAAGCCUGGGGGCAGCAAGACCCUCGAGAGCAGGCAAGGCAGCCAAGGGAGUCAGCUGUGGGUCAGCCAAGGGAGGGGACGGGCCCCAGCGGUGGCCAGAAGUGGCCCAACAUCAACUCCCCCGUCCCAGGAGACCCUGGUCUUUCCUCCCCUGACUCCAUGUAUCUUUCUUUGAACAAAGUCGGCUCCAUUAGGACAUAUCCGCCCUGUUCUCUGCUCUAUUCCUGGGCCUGGAGCCUGGCGCGUAAUAUGCAUCAACAUGAAUGACAGAUGGAUGAAGUGAUGGAAGAAGGAAUUUCAGCUUAUUGAAAGGAAGACUUUUCAUAACUGAAUUGAUCUUGGUGGGGGGCAGUCUCAGGAGGUGGGGCAAUUUGCUCUCUCUUUGGGAGCGUUUUGAAGGAUGCUGGGUGAGCCAUUGACGAUUAGAGGGAAGGGAUUCAGGCACUGAUGGGGGAAUAGGUUUGUGCUGAUGACCUCUGCCCUUCCCCACUCACGACCCUCCUCCUGCUCCUCUGCCCAGAGAUCCUGGACUCUUCUUUCUCUGAGCGAGGCAGUGAUUACUUUAUCAGGCAAACCUGAGUUCAAGUCCACCUGCCACCACUAACUAGUUGGAAACUCUGGGAGCAAACAGCUUGCCUCUCUGUGUCUCAGUUGUGUCAUCUGUGAAAUGGGACUCUAAUCCCUUCAGCCUCUGUGGGCGAUGGAGAAUGGACAGGAAAAAGUAAAGGAUCACACACACACACACACAGAGUUAAUUAGAAUUCUCCCAGCAGCCCACCUGGCAGGAAUCUAUGAGGGAUGGGCUGUAUCAGAAAUUCUGCUGGGAAAGAGCCAGACUCCAUUGGGCAAAGCGCAGCACAGCCCCUGUGAAAGCCGCCUGCCCAAGUCACUUAAGUGGGGGAGUAGGAGGCAGGGGGCUGGGGAGGGCACGAGUGGGGUAGAGUAGGUGUUCGAUUCUGUCCUCCUUGCUCCCAUGUUCAAGCUGCUGCAGCAUAUUUCGGAUCAGAACAUCUUGCUCCAUCAGCACCAGCAGUGGAGGAGGGGAGGCUGAGAGGAUGAAGCCCAGGGUCAGCUGAGGGCACAGAGACUCCUCCCCGGUCAUCACUGAAGAUGCUGCAUGCAGGAGAUGAGCCACAGGCUGGGCCCCUAGGCAGCUGCUCAGCUGUCCAUCCCUCCGGAAGCUGCUGCAGCUUUAGCAAGACACGUGGAUGAACCCGGAGGACCCUUCCUGGGGCAGACGGUGCCCAGUGGAGUCCCUGGGGCUUCCUGUGGGAGAAUCCUGAGCUGGCCAACGUGGGGAACACAUCAUGGGGUCCCACAAUGGGGAUG